rnacentral:rRNA from 1 species
UAUCUGUUUGAUCCCGGCAGAGGUCACUGUUAUCGGGGUUCGAUUAAGCCAUGCGAGUCGAGAGGGUUCAGACCCUCGGCGGACUGCUCAGUAACACGUGGAUAAUCUGCCCUAUGGUGGAGGAUAACCCCGGGAAACUGGGGUUAUUUACUCCAUAAGUCAGGAGUACUGGAAUGUCUCCUAACUGAAAGUUGCGGCGCCAUAGGAUGAUUCUGCCCCCCCACCUUUUAGUUGUUGGGGUAACGGCCCAACAUUUCCGUAAUCGGUACGGGUUGUGGGACCCCGAGCCCGGAGAUGGAAUCUGAGACACGAUUCCAGGCCCUACGGGGGCGCAGCAGGCGCAAAACUUUCCAUUGCAGGAAACUGUGAUAAGGGAACCCCGAAGUGCCCGUAAACCCGGGCUUGUCCCGGUGUUUAAAAACACAUCGAAAGAAAGGGCCGGGCAAGACCGGUGCCAGCCGCCGCGGUAUACCGGCGGCUCGGGUGUGACCCUUUAUUGGGCUAAACCGUCGUACUUGAUUUUAAGUUCCUGGGAAUCCCCGGCUUAAUGGGAGGCGUCGAAAGACGGGGAACUUAGGGACCGGAGAGUAAAGUCUUAAGGUAAGUGAAAUUCUGUAUUCCUGAAGCACCAUGGCAGGCUCUACAAACGCUCCAAGUGAGAACAACUGGGAAUAUUAU